rnacentral:lncRNA from 1 species
GGGGGGGGGGGGGGGGGGGGGGGGGGGGGGGGGGGGGGGGGGGGGGGGGGGGGGGGGGGGGACAGCCCCUCCUCACACAGCCCCUUCACACACCCCCUCCUCACAGCCCCCUCCUCGCACACCCCCUCCUCACACAGCCCCUCCUCACACACAGCCCUUCACACACACACUCUCCCCUCACACGCUCUCCCCUCCUCACACGCUCAGGGACCCCGCAAAGCCGCCCCCGAAGCACUUACGGUCCCCACCGCAUCUCGCGGGUGAUGCCGCGCCCGAGCCCCGCGCCUAAAAACUUCUGGAAAGCCGCACUUACUGAGCUGAGGGUUUCUGCAAGGAAGAGGAGGAAGGGAAAGGUUUCUAAUGAGCUUUUAAUGAUUGUGAAGAUAGAUGAGAAUCUCAGCUUCUUAAGCAAGUGUAACUUCACAUUUACCCCGAGUGAGUGCAUCAGGUAUUGCAAGAUAAGAUUGGAAAUUUCUUAGUCUUUGACAAAGCAACCCAAUGAGAAAAUGGAAUGCUGUGGUACAGGAGCACCUCUCAAGUGUUCUGAAAAAGUGCUUUGGAAAUUAUUAUCGCUUGUAAUCGGAGGUAAAAACAA